AAGGUUAAGCCUCACGGUUCAUUAGUACCGGUUAGCUCAACGCAUCGCUGCGCUUACACACCCGGCCUAUCAACGUCGUCGUCUUCAACGUUCCUUCAGGACCCUUAAAGGGUCAGGGAGAACUCAUCUCGGGGCAAGUUUCGUGCUUAGAUGCUUUCAGCACUUAUCUCUUCCGCAUUUAGCUACCGGGCAGUGCCAUUGGCAUGACAACCCGAACACCAGUGAUGCGUCCACUCCGGUCCUCUCGUACUAGGAGCAGCCCCCCUCAGUUCUCCAGCGCCCACGGCAGAUAGGGACCGAACUGUCUCACGACGUUCUAAACCCAGCUCGCGUACCACUUUAAAUGGCGAACAGCCAUACCCUUGGGACCUACUUCAGCCCCAGGAUGUGAUGAGCCGACAUCGAGGUGCCAAACACCGCCGUCGAUAUGAACUCUUGGGCGGUAUCAGCCUGUUAUCCCCGGAGUACCUUUUAUCCGUUGAGCGAUGGCCCUUCCAUUCAGAACCACCGGAUCACUAUGACCUGCUUUCGCACCUGCUCGCGCCGUCACGCUCGCAGUCAAGCUGGCUUAUGCCAUUGCACUAACCUCCUGAUGUCCGACCAGGAUUAGCCAACCUUCGUGCUCCUCCGUUACUCUUUAGGAGGAGACCGCCCCAGUCAAACUACCCACCAGACACUGUCCGCAACCCGGAUUACGGGUCCACGUUAGAACAUCAAACAUUAAAGGGUGGUAUUUCAAGGCCGGCUCCAUGCAGACUGGCGUCCACACUUCAAAGCCUCCCACCUAUCCUACACAUCAAGGCUCAAUGUUCAGUGUCAAGCUAUAGUAAAGGUUCACGGGGUCUUUCCGUCUUGCCGCGGGUACACUGCAUCUUCACAGCGAGUUCAAUUUCACUGAGUCUCGGGUGGAGACAGCCUGGCCAUCAUUACGCCAUUCGUGCAGGUCGGAACUUACCCGACAAGGAAUUUCGCUACCUUAGGACCGUUAUAGUUACGGCCGCCGUUUACCGGGGCUUCGAUCAAGAGCUUCGCUUGCGCUGACCCCAUCAAUUAACCUUCCGGCACCGGGCAGGCGUCACACCGUAUACGUCCACUUUCGUGUUUGCACAGUGCUGUGUUUUUAAUAAACAGUUGCAGCCAGCUGGUAUCUUCGACUGAUUUCAGCUCCAUCCGCGAGGGACUUCACCUACAUAUCAGCGUGCCUUCUCCCGAAGUUACGGCACCAUUUUGCCUAGUUCCUUCACCCGAGUUCUCUCAAGCGCCUUGGUAUUCUCUACCUGACCACCUGUGUCGGUUUGGGGUACGAUUUGAUGUUACCUGAUGCUUAGAGGCUUUUCCUGGAAGCAGGGCAUUUGUUGCUUCAGCACCGUAGUGCCUCGUCAUCACGCCUCAGCCUUGAUUUUCCGGAUUUGCCUGGAAAAUCAGCCUACACGCUUAAACCGGGACAACCGUCGCCCGGCCAACAUAGCCUUCUCCGUCCCCCCUUCGCAGUAACACCAAGUACAGGAAUAUUAACCUGUUUCCCAUCGACUACGCCUUUCGGCCUCGCCUUAGGGGUCGACUCACCCUGCCCCGAUUAACGUUGGACAGGAACCCUUGGUCUUCCGGCGAGCGGGCUUUUCACCCGCUUUAUCGUUACUUAUGUCAGCAUUCGCACUUCUGAUACCUCCAGCAUGCCUCACAGCACACCUUCACAGGCUUACAGAACGCUCCCCUACCCAACAACGCAUAAGCGUCGCUGCCGCAGCUUCGGUGCAUGGUUUAGCCCCGUUACAUCUUCCGCGCAGGCCGACUCGACCAGUGAGCUAUUACGCUUUCUUUAAAUGAUGGCUGCUUCUAAGCCAACAUCCUGGCUGUCUGGGCCUUCCCACAUCGUUUCCCACUUAACCAUGACUUUGGGACCUUAGCUGGCGGUCUGGGUUGUUUCCCUCUUCACGACGGACGUUAGCACCCGCCGUGUGUCUCCCGUGAUAACAUUCUCCGGUAUUCGCAGUUUGCAUCGGGUUGGUAAGUCGGGAUGACCCCCUUGCCGAAACAGUGCUCUACCCCCGGAGAUGAAUUCACGAGGCGCUACCUAAAUAGCUUUCGGGGAGAACCAGCUAUCUCCCGGUUUGAUUGGCCUUUCACCCCCAGCCACAAGUCAUCCGCUAAUUUUUCAACAUUAGUCGGUUCGGUCCUCCAGUUAGUGUUACCCAACCUUCAACCUGCCCAUGGCUAGAUCACCGGGUUUCGGGUCUAUACCCUGCAACUUAACGCCCAGUUAAGACUCGGUUUCCCUUCGGCUCCCCUAUUCGGUUAACCUUGCUACAGAAUAUAAGUCGCUGACCCAUUAUACAAAAGGUACGCAGUCACCCCAUAAAGAGGCUCCCACUGCUUGUACGUACACGGUUUCAGGUUCUUUUUCACUCCCCUCGCCGGGGUUCUUUUCGCCUUUCCCUCACGGUACUGGUUCACUAUCGGUCAGUCAGGAGUAUUUAGCCUUGGAGGAUGGUCCCCCCAUAUUCAGACAGGAUACCACGUGUCCCGCCCUACUCAUCGAGCUCACAGCAUGUGCAUUUUUGUGUACGGGGCUGUCACCCUGUAUCGCGCGCCUUUCCAGACGCUUCCACUAACACACACACUGAUUCAGGCUCUGGGCUGCUCCCCGUUCGCUCGCCGCUACUGGGGGAAUCUCGGUUGAUUUCUUUUCCUCGGGGUACUUAGAUGUUUCAGUUCCCCCGGUUCGCCUCAUUAACCUAUGGAUUCAGUUAAUGAUAGUGUGUCGAAACACACUGGGUUUCCCCAUUCGGAAAUCGCCGGUUAUAACGGUUCAUAUCACCUUACCGACGCUUAUCGCAGAUUAGCACGUCCUUCAUCGCCUCUGACUGCCAGGGCAUCCACCGUGUACGCUUAGUCGCUUAA
rnacentral:rRNA from 1 species